rfam:Bacillus sp. 2_A_57_CT2 genomic scaffold supercont1.1, whole genome shotgun sequence.
AAGUCCUUUAAAACAGUCCCGUGAGGCUGGGAAGGAAACGGAUUGAAUAAGGAAAUUUGUAUCCCUUAUUCUGCAGCAGCAGAAUCGUUUACCCUCUCGCCCGAUCGGUGAGAGGGUUUUUUAU